AUUGAACGCUGGCGGCAUGCCUUACACAUGCAAGUCGAACGGAUUGAGGGGCUUGCUCCUCAGUUAGUGGCGAACGGGUGAGUAAUGCAUCGGAACGUACCCAGUCGUGGGGGAUAACGUAGCGAAAGUUACGCUAAUACCGCAUACGAUCUGAGGAUGAAAGCGGGGGACCUUCGGGCCUCGCGCGAUUGGAGCGGCCGAUGUCGGAUUAGCUCGUUGGUGAGGUAAAGGCUCACCAAGGCGACGAUCCGUAGCUGGUCUGAGAGGACGACCAGCCACACUGGAACUGAGACACGGUCCAGACUCCUACGGGAGGCAGCAGUGGGGAAUUUUGGACAAUGGGCGAAAGCCUGAUCCAGCCAUGCCGCGUGAGUGAAGAAGGCCUUCGGGUUGUAAAGCUCUUUCAGACGGAAAGAAAUCUCUUGGGUGAAUAUCCCGGGAGGAUGACGGUACCGUAAGAAGAAGCACCGGCAAACUUCGUGCCAGCAGCCGCCGUAA
rnacentral:rRNA from 1 species